CCUCCAAGUUGCUGUGCUCGCCGGCACCGACCCUGCUUAGGCCAGUGGACGUCCUGGACGUUGCUGGAUUCAGGCCACUCUUCUCUGCCUUGGGACAUCUGAGAGAAGCCAAUGGCGCCAGAGCCCUGGGCUGACAUUCGAGGACAACUCCUUCUGGGUGAGGCAACUGAGGCUUGGAAAAGUCAAGAAUGCCUGUCCUGAGAGGAUCAGAGUUGAGGACCCUCUUUGCACACCUGGCGUCACCGUGGGGCACUCAUUUGUGACCUGUAAUUCCUGGCAGCUAAGGGAGCAGAAUAAAGGGUCGUUGGAAGAUUUGGGUCUUGUCCUUCCUUCGACUCAGCCAUCUCUGCCUAGAGAUGGCUGCUGCUCCCGUGGGAACCAGGGGCCCGUGCCAUCCCCCACUGCUGUGCCCGGCCCUCUGCCUGCCCUGCC